CACGAAUGGCGUAACGACUUCCCCGCUGUCUCCAACAUCGACUCAGCGAAAUUGAAUUGCCUGUCAAGAUGCAGGCUUCCCGCGGUUAGACGGAAAGACCCCGUGCACCUUUACUACAGCUUCGCACUGGCAUCAGGACUGCAAUGUGCAGGAUAGGUGGUGGGCUUUGAAGCAGGAACGCCAGUUUCUGUGGAGCCUCCCUUGAGAUACCACCCUUUGCAUUCUUGAUGUCUAACCGCGGUCCGUUAUCCGGAUCCGGGACCCUGCGUGGCGGGUAGUUUGACUGGGGCGGGCGCCCCCUAAAG
rnacentral:rRNA from 1 species